rnacentral:rRNA from 1 species
GACGAACGCUGGCGGCGUGCUUAACACAUGCAAGUCGAACGGAAAGGCCCUGCUGUUGUUUGGUGCUCGAGUGGCGAACGGGUGAGUAACACGUGAGUAACCUGCCCUUGACUUUGGGAUAACUUCAGGAAACUGGGGCUAAUACCGGAUAGGAGCUCCUGCUGCAGGGUGGGGGUUGGAAAGUUUCGGCGGUUGGGGAUGGACUCGCGGCUUAUCAGCUUGUUGGUGGGGUAGUUGCUUACCAAGGUUUGGACGGGUAGCCGGCCUGGGAGGGUGACCGGCCACAUUGGGACUGAGAUACGGCCCAGACUCAUACGGGAGGCAGCAGUGAGAAAUAUUGCAAGAUGGGCGGAAGCCUGAUGCAGGAACGCCGCGUGCGGGAUGACGGCCUUCGGGUUGUAACCCGCUUUCGACUGUGACGAAGAGUGAGUGACGGUAAUGGGUAAAGAAGCACCGGCUAACUACGUG